rnacentral:lncRNA from 1 species
GAAUUAUGUAGGUCGUCCCAGCCUCAAGUAAGCUACCAAAUACUGGAACGGAGAUGGAUGUUGCGAUUUCGCCGCAUUCCAUUACUUCAUUCGAUUUGCCGCUGAUCCCGAUGGAAUACAGAUCUGCAAUCUAAGCAUUAGGGGAUGAGAAGUGGCUGUAAAGCCUAUGACAUGGCUGAAUGAAUAAAGGGUUGUUUCAUAUGUGUGUGUGUAUAUAUAUAUAUAUAUAUAUAUAUAUAUGAACCAAAUGGAUGUGUUGUGUGCUAAGAUGUGGAUAAUUAAUUCUAUCAUCACAUCGAUUGGAAAAAUAAGAUAUUCACGUGUG